GAGUUAUGAGGAUGAUCUGGCUGUGACAUCUGUCAGUCCAUUGAUCACCAGGGUGGAUUUGGCUGAUCUGGCUGACUAGGCAGAUGUUCCCUUCCUCCUUCACUAUUUCUUGUGCUUCUUUCCCAAGCUGCAUGCUCUGCCAAAAAGGAUGGCCACCCUUGAUAGAGCAGGACUUGUUUCCUAGGUCAAGGGUGUAGGAGUAGCUGUGCUUCCCUGUUAAAAUCUCCAGACACCACAGGGAAACAUUUUUAUUUUUUUAAAUUUGUUUAUAUUAUUGUCUUAUUAUUUUAC
rfam:Cavia porcellus supercont2_8 genomic scaffold, whole genome shotgun sequence.